AUAAAUAAAAUCUUUUAAGAUAUAGUAAAGUAAAAAAUAAAAUAAAAUGCAAACAGGUCACCAGGAGGGAUUCCCAAGAAACCUGGCUUUGUGUAUCAGACCUGCAAUAGUCAGCAGCCUUACCCAACGAGGGCAGAGGCCUGGGCCUGUUUUAAUCGGGGAGCCAGGUCUAGGUGGGGCGCGGGCAGCACAGGGACCACGCAUGGCAGAGAGCCGAAGGUCACAGAUGGAGGACAAGCUUCUGGAUUUGCCCGUGGCUGCUCGGCCAACACCAACUUGUUCCUGCUUGUUCUUGAAAGACUUUUCCCUGGCACUGGCCGAGCAGAAGCGAGGCCGCGGCUUGUGCAGCUGGGAACCAUUUGUCAACAUUAAGAAAGUCGGAGGCUAACACGCCAGCAAGAACUGGAGCUGGUCCAGGAGAGAGUUCACAUUGGGAAAAAAAAAAAAAAAAAAACCCUCAGCUCAGUGAGCAACCGAUGGUAGCCGGUCAUCCCAGUUGGGAGUAGCCGCUCCUGGGCUGCGGGAGCCCGAAUGCCAGGCUUCAGUGACUGAGGUCACCUCCCCCGUGCCCUCAACUGUAGCCGUGUUGACAUUUCUGGACUUCGCACUGUUCCCUAGAUUGUUCUCCUCUCCCAUCUCCCCGGAGGCUCGGGCCAGCUGUUUUGACACAAGUCUGGCAGGGAAAAAAAUCGUGGAAGAGUCCAAUAAACCAUCUCAUUUCCUCGAGCUAAGAAAGCCUUCGGCUAUUGGUGCAAAAAGCAAAAGGCACAGUUUAUCACCCUUCACUGUGGAAAGCACACCGACAAGUGGUUCCUCUUGCUAAGUUGGCCUCUACCUUUGGGAAAAAUAGCAGAUAGGGGAGGAAAUAUUCUAAUUCUCCCAGCAGCCGUCAGCCCUGGUGCUACCUGGGUUGAAACAGAAUUUCCCCCUUGAUGGACCAUGGAAGUGGCAGGACAGUUACCUGCAAAACUCCUCACCAGCUUGAUAAAAUCACUUAAAAAGACUUUUUCAGGUGAUACUUUCAACAAGUUUUAUUAUGAGUGUCCCCAGCUAAUUGCAAGCAAAGAAUCCCAAAAGGUGACAACAUAACUUGAAAUGAAACAGAAAUGUUUUCUUUCACCCCCAUUUGAAAAUUCUAGUGUGAAGAUGUCUUUUCCAGUUAUAGUUAUCUAAGUCACCCAUGAUCAAAACAUCAAAGCAAAAAGAAUAAUGACGGCAAAAUAAAAUCACAAUGGAAGUCCAUAAAAUAACCUUUCAAAAUAAA